rnacentral:rRNA from 1 species
AACGAACGCUGGCGGCAGGCUUAACACAUGCAAGUCGAGCGAGACCUUCGGGUCUAGCGGCGGACGGGUGAGUAACGCGUGGGAACGUGCCCUUCUCUACGGAAUAGCCCCGGGAAACUGGGAGUAAUACCGUAUACGCCCUUUGGGGGAAAGAUUUAUCGGAGAAGGAUCGGCCCGCGUUGGAUUAGGUAGUUGGUGGGGUAAUGGCCCACCAAGCCGACGAUCCAUAGCUGGUUUGAGAGGAUGAUCAGCCACACGGGGACUGAGACACGGCCCAGACUCCCAGGGGAGGCAGAGGGGGGGAAAUUAAAAAAAGGGGGGCAACCCUGAUCUACCCUGGCCGGGUGAGGGAUGAGGGCUUUGGGGUGGUAAAGCUCUUUCAGCUGGGAAAAUAAUGACGGUACCAGAAGAAGAAGCCCCGGCAAACUCCGG